rnacentral:lncRNA from 1 species
GGGAUUUAUUGCAAAGAAAGGAAAGAUGAGGAGAGCCAGGGAAAUGUAAAGGCCUUAGAAUGACGAAGCAUGUGUGGGAUAUUUUAUGCAAAAUUAAUAUAAAACAGUUGGUGGUGGAAAAGGAAUCACAGCAGCAUGCACAUUGUGUGGAUAACCUCAUAGGAAACCUCAAAACAAUGUGAGACAAUGGAUAAGCAAACGCCACGUAAAGGGGCCACUGAAAGAUGUGGCUUGCUCCUCCUUGCCUUCCACCACGAUUGUGAGGCCUCCCCAGCUAUGUGGAACUGGUUACUCUGUCAUGAGUUGCUGUGAUGGCCUGAGUUGGUUGACCUCUAGCCAGGAGGUGGGACUUACAAGAGAGCACCAACUGCAGUAAUAGAAGGGGGAUAGAAGCUUGCCCUAAGUUGGCCAGGGUGA